rnacentral:sRNA from 12 species
CGCCUAACCCAUCAAAUCUUGAUGGCACGGCGCAAUAAAACUAUCCCUAGUAGAGAGCUCGUCACCAGAGCAACUAGGGAUAGUCAUAUCUUGAAAGAGAUAUGGGUGCCGCAAGGCAUC